rnacentral:rRNA from 1 species
CCUACGGAGGCUGCAGUGGGGAAUAUUGGACAAUGGGGGCAACCCUGAUCCAGCCAUGCCGCGUGUGUGAAGAAGGCCCUCGGGUUGUAAAGCACUUUCAGUGAGGAAGAACGCCUGGUGGUUAAUACCCAUCAGGAAAGACAUCACUCACAGAAGAAGCACCGGCUAACUCCGUGCCAGCAGCCGCGGUAAUACGGAGGGUGCGAGCGUUAAUCGGAAUUACUGGGCGUAAAGCGCGCGUAGGUGGCUUGAUAAGCCGGUUGUGAAAGCCCCGGGCUCAACCUGGGAACGGCAUCCGGAACUGUCAAGCUAGAGUGCAGGAGAGGAAGGUAGAAUUCCCGGUGUAGCGGUGAAAUGCGUAGAGAUCGGGAGGAAUACCAGUGGCGAAGGCGGCCUUCUGGACUGACACUGACACUGAGGUGCGAAAGCGUGGGUAGCAAACAGGAUUAGAUACCCUUGUAGUC